GGCUGUGUGUUCUAGUUGGUUAAGAUUUCUCGUUCACAUCAUGUGUACCUGAUCCGAGAAGGUCCCAGGUUCGAGCCCUGGCACGGUCA